CAAGGUGACAAUGCAAGCCAUCGGUGCUCAUAGAGCAACCGGCUCGGCACACAAUGCCUCCACAGUGCUGCCCACGUCCGUCACUGGCUGGCGUUUGCAUCGGCCGGGCAUAGGAUUCCUUUUUUCAGCUAAAUUGGUGUCGGUGAAAGAGACAUUGAGAGAUAGAGAGAGAGACAGGUGAAGGAGAUUGGUUAGGAGGUGGGUAUUGGGUGUCAGCUCGCUGGGACGGUUGUGUUGGGGGUGGUGGUAGAUAAGUUUGAGGUGGUAGUAGACAAGUUGAGGUGGUAGUAGACAAGUUGAGGUGGUAGUUGACAAGUUGAGGUGGUGGUAGACAAGUUGAGGUAGUGGUAGACAAGUUGAGGUGGUAGUAGACAAGUUGAGGUGGUAGUUGACAAGUUGAGGUGGUAGUAGACAAGUUGAGGUGGUAGUAGACAAAUUGAGGUGGAAGAUGACAAGUUGAGGUGCUUGCAGACAAGUUGAGGUGGUAGUAGACAAGUUGAGGUGGUAGUAAACAAGUUGAAGUGGUAGUAGACAAGUUGAGGUGGUAGUAGACAAGUUGAGGUGGUAGUAGACAAGUUGAGGUGGUAGUAGACAAGUUGAGGUGGUAGUAGACAAGUUGAGGUGGUAGUUGACAAGUUGAGGUGGUAGUAGACAAGUUGAGGUGGUAGUUGACAAGUUGAGGUGGUAGUAGACAAGUUGAGGUUGUAGUAGACAAGUUGAGGUGGUAGUUGACAAGUUGAGGUGGUAGUUGACAAGUUGAGGUGGUAGUAGACAAGUUGAGGUGGUAAUAGACAAGUUGAGGUGGUGGUAGACAAGUUGAGGUGGUAGUAGACAAGUUGAGGUGGUAGUAGACAAGUUGAGGUGGUGGUAGACAAGUUGACGUGGUAGUUGACAGGUUGAGGUGGUAGUUGACAAGUUGAGGCGGUGGUAGACAAGUUGAGGUGGUAGUAGACAAGUUGAGGUGGUGGUAGACAAGUUGAGGUGGUAGUAGACAAGUUGAGGUGGUAGUAGACAAGUUGAGGUGCUUGUAGACAAGUUUAGAUGGUGGUAGACAAGUUGAGGUGGUAGUUGACAGGUUGAGGUGGUAGUUGACAAGUUGAGGUGGUGGUAGACAAGUUGAGGUGGUAGUAGACAAGUUGAGGUGGUAGUAGACAAGUUGAGGUGGUAGUUGACAAGUUGAGGUGGUAGUAAACAAGUUGAGGUGGUGGUAGACAAGUUGACGUGGUAGUUGACAGGUUGAGGUGGUAGUUGACAAGUUGAGGUGGUGGUAGACAAGUUGUGGUGGUAGUUGACAAGUUGAGGUGGUAGUAGAUACGUUGAGGUGGUAGUUGACCAGUCGAGGUGGUGGUAGACAAGUUGAGGUGGUAGUUGACAAGUUGAGGUGAUAGUAGACAAGUUGAGGUGGUAGUUGACAAGUUGAGGUGGUAGUAGACAAGUUGAGGUGGUAGUAGACCAGUUGAGGUGGUAGUAGACAAGUUGAGGUGGUAGUAGACAAGUUGAAGUGGUAGUAGACAAGUUGAGGUGGUAGUUGACAAGUUGAGGUGGUACUUGACAAGUUGAGGUGGUAGUAGAUAAGUUGAGGUGGUAGUUGACAAGUUGAGGUGGUAGUAGACAAGUUGAGGUGGUAGUAGACAAGUUGAGGUGGUAGUUGACAAGUUGAGGUGGUAGUAGACAAGUUGAGGUGGUAGUUAACAAGUUGAGGUGCUGGCAGACAAGUUGAGGUGGUAGUAGACAAGUUGAGGUGGUAGUAGACAAGUUGAGGUGGUAGUUGACAAGUUGAGGUGGUAGUUGCCAAGUUGAGGUGGUAGUAGACAAGUUGAGGUGGUAGUAGACAAGUUGAGGUGGUAGUAGACAAGUUGAAGUGGUAGUAGACAAGUUGAGGUGGUGGUAGACAAGUUGAGGUGGUAGUUGACAAGUUGAGGUGGUAGUGGGCAAGUUGAGGUGGUAUUAGACAAGUUGAGUUGGUAGUAGUCAAGUUGAGGUGGUAGUAGACAAGUUGAGGUGGUAGUAGACAAGUUGAGGUGGUAGUUGACAAGUUGAGGUGGUAGUAGACAAGUUGAGGUGGUGGUAGACAAGUUGAGGUGCUGGCAGACAAGUUGAGGUGGUAGUAGACAAGUUGAGGUGCUAGUAGACAAGUUGAGGUGGUAGUAGACAAGUUGAGGUGGUGGUAGACAAGUUGAGGUGGUGGUAGACAAGUUGAGGUGGUAGUAGACAAGUUGACGUGGUAGUUGACAAGUUGAGGUGGCAGUUGACAAGUUGAGGUGGUGGUAGACAAGUUGAGGUGGUAGUAGACAAGUUGAGGUGGUGGUAGACAAGUUGAGGUGCUUGUAGACAAGUUGAGGUGGUGGUAGACAAGUUGAGGUGGUGGUAGACAAGUUGAGGUGGUAGUUGACAAGUUGAGGUGGUAGUUGACAAGUUGAGGUGGUAGUAGAUACGUUGAGGUGGUAGUUAACCAGUCGAGGUGGUGGUAGACAAGUUGAGGUGGUAGUUGACAAGUUGAGGUGAUAGUAGACAAGUUGAGGUGGUAGUUGACAAGUUGAGGUGGUAGUAGACAAGUUGAGGUGGUAGUUGACAAGUUGAUGUGGUAGUAGACAAGUUGCGGUGGUAGUUGACAAGUUGAGGUGGUAGUAGACAAGUUGAGGUGGUAGUAGACAAGUUGAAGUGGUAGUUGACAAGUUGGGGUGGUAGUAGGUAGGUUGAGGUGGUGUAUCUUUGGGUUUUAAUGCCGUGUUGUUCGGCAUGGCUUCUUGUGAAGCAGAAUGUUCUUCAUUGCAAGGCCCGCGGGCCACUGGCCUCCCCUGGUGGACUUUAGUGCUGACCCUGACGUGCGGCCCCUCGACAGUACACAAAUGGUGAAAACACCCCCAUCAUAGCUGUCAAACCCCAACGAUUUAAAAAUUUGUGGCGGCCCUCACACACUGAUGAUGUCGAAGUCUUAUCGGUGAAAGUGGCCCCCGUUUGAAAAUUAGUGAACGCUGAUCUAGCUCGUUAGAAUGACGGAAGAGACAUAUGAUGUUGAUGAUGUGUUAACGAAUGCGUGAGAAGGCGCUCCUGUAGCAUCACCCCUCCAUCAGUUAACCUGGAUUAAUUUCAGUCACCAUCAUCAUCAGCCAUGGUCAAUCUACUGCUGGAUAGAGGCCUCCCCAAGCCUCCCACCGGCUCUCGCGGUCCUUCCAUCUACCAACCUGCACACGUGGCUGUCCAGUAACAAACGGAAUCAGCAUAUAUAUUUAUACUGGAGGAAUCCCUAUAAGCUCUACAGCUCUUUUUCAAGGAUGUCGAGUAGGGGUGGAUCAGAAUGUUACAACAACAAACAAUACAAAAACACGGUAGGAGUGCAAAGUA